rnacentral:tRNA from 1 species
GGGCGAGUGGCGGAACGGCAGACGCAGGGGACUUAAAAUCCCCUUCCCGCUCGCGGGAGUGAGGGUUCGACUCCCUCCUCGCCCA